GUUUCCGUAGCUUAGUCGGUAGAACUAACGACUUUGGCGCGGUAGAACUCGGGUUCGAGCCCCGCUGAAGGCA